UACGAACCGUACAAACGUUAUUCGGAAUUACUGGGCUUAAAGGGUGCGUAGGCGGCCAAGUAAGUGAGGUGUGAAAUCCCUCGGCUCAACCGAGGAACUGCGCUUCAUACUGCUUGGCUUGAGGGAGACAGGGGUAAGCGGAACUGAUGGUGGAGCGGUGAAAUGCGUUGAUAUCAUCAGGAACACCGGUGGCGAAAGCGGCUUACUGGGUCUUUUCUGACGCUGAUGGACGAAAGCUAGGGGAGCGAACGGG
rnacentral:rRNA from 1 species